AGUCGAGGGGUAAAUGGUAGCAAUACUAUGAGACCGGCGGACGGGUGCGUAACGCGUAUGCAACAUACCUUGUGCAGGGGGAUAGCCCGUGGAAACGCGGAUUAAUAUUCCAUAGUCCAGCUAUAUCGCAUGGUAUAGUUGGUAAAGACUUAUCGGCACAAGUUUGGCAUGCGUCUGAUUAGCUUGUUGGUAGGGUAACGGCCUACCAAGGCUACGAUCAGUAGGGGUUCUGAGAGGAUUAACCCCCACACUGGUACUGAGACACGGACCAGACUCCCACGGGAGGCAGCAGUGAGGAAUAUUGGUCAAUGGGCGGAAGCCUGAACCAGCCAUCCCGCGUGAAGGAAGACAGCCUUACGGGUUGUAAACUUCUUUUCUGUCAGAAGAAUAAGCUUGUCGAGACGAGUGAUGCCGGUAUGACAGGAAUAAGCAUCGGCUAACUCCGUGCCAGCAGCCGCGGUAAUACGGAGGAUGCAAGCGUUAUCCGGAUUUAUUGGGUUUAAAGGGUGCGCAGGUUGUUUGAUAAGUCAGUGGUGAAAGUCUGUCGCUUAACGGUAGGAUUGCCAUUGAUACUGUUGGACUUGAAUAUGGAUGAGGUAGGCGGAAUGUGUAGUGUAGCGGUGAAAUGCAUAGAUAUUACACAGAACACCGAUUGCGAAGGCAGCUUACUAAUCCAUCAUUGACGCUGA
rnacentral:rRNA from 1 species